GCCUCGGCCCGCCCGCGCGGCGGCGCUGUCGUGGCUCGGGCCUGGCCGCCCCCACCUGGGUGCCCCGGAGACCCCCGACCGUCUGGACCCGCGGGGAGAGCAGGGCGCCCACGCUCGGGGUCACCUGCGCACCCUCAGGAGAGGGUUUGGGGCGCGACGCCAGCCGUAGCUUUCCAGGUCACCUGGGCCUCGGCCAUGCGGGGCCUGGGGCGCUCCGGAUCUGCCUCGUGAAGUGGGCGGCCCGCGGGCCCUUGGCUGGGAGGGAGUGGGCGUCGUGGGAGGGAUUGUGCACUCGAAUAAAAGUAAAAGUUUUUGUUGUUUUUUUAUAGCCUUGUGGGUCCGGAGAGUCUGAAGGCUAAUUAGGGAAGCUGCCGCCCAGUCUUGAGGUGAAUCAUGGUUGUGACACUGACAAGUGUGGGAAGAAAGGCUGCUGAUGACUUCUCAGCCACGUUGACUUUUUUCCCUUUAAUGACAAAGCAGGAAACCCAGUGGCCUUGAGUGGUCGCACAGGUAACCGACUACAAAUCGCUCCUCACCCCCAGCCUUGUUCUGCUUUUGGCGCAGCCCAGAUGCCCUCUCCACGUCCACCCAGCAGCAGCAGCAGCAGCGGUGUCCCCUCUCCCGCAGAGAGCUUUUCGGGAAUGGAAGGACAACGAACUUGAACUGUGCCCCAGCAGGCAACUGAGGCCGACGUAGCCCGGGGAAAGCAUUCCUGCCCCAGGUAGAAGGGAGAACGGUAGCUUUGGACAGUGACAUGCAGAUGUCGUCGGACGUCUGAAUUGGCGGUGAUGCCGGCGCGAUUGUGUGGGGAAUCCGCGGAUUCCGCGCCGCACGGUGGGGCGGUUGUGUCUGAUGGUGUGCGACGUGGACACCCAGGACCUGAGAAGCACGCACUUGCACAGCUUCCAAAGCAGGCACGGAAUACUGGAAGGGGCUGUCUGUGCUGCUGGCUUAAAAUGGGGUCAUAGUCCCCAACAAGAAUCAGAGGCAGAAAAAAGUUAAUCGCAGAUCUCAUUUACUUGUGCAUGUAAAGGGAAAUUGCCUUUUAAAUUUUUUGAUGAAAUCUUUUUGGCACAAGUGAGUCACUUACAGUCUCUGUUGAUAGUUAAAUGCAUUAAAUCCCCUGUAUGAAGGAAACAUAAAUUGUGAAUGAAUCUUGCUGUCCCAAAUUAAUAACCUGCUUUCACAAUGGGCAGGUGACUCAUGGCAGAGACAAUGAAUUUGUUAGGUGUGUUUGCUUUUCUCAAAAUCCUAAAACUAAACCCUACUAUGAGCAACUCUGCCCUCUUGUCACUUUGAACCUCUGCUGCUUGCUAUUCAAAAAUCACAUUUACUUCGUGGUGUGGUUAACUACUAAAUAUUUAUUGACUCCAUAAAUUGCCUUUCUACCUAAGAAUUUUGUUUCCAGAAUAACAGGAGCCUCUGGCUCUAUGCCUGUGUGCUGUGGGUGGCUUUUGAAGUGCCUGGAGAUUUUGAAAGGACAAAAACUGGAAGUUCUUGGUGAUUAGCUAAGGCUGAGAACCCUGGUAUCAACACCCAAAAUAGAAAGUGGUGGGGAACUUUGUGACUGGGCCAGAGAAAUGGAAAAUCAUCUGGAGUCCGGCAGAGCAAAUACCUUCAAUGCUUUAAAAAAAAAAAAAAAAAGUGGAAAAAGAAGAAUACCCUCUGCCACCCUGCAACUUUCACCUUCCUGCCCAGGAAUCUGUUCCUAGGCCCUGCCAACCGCCAGAUAGGAAAGCACUUCCCCUUUUUAGUGCCUCUUGAUCAAACCUAGAAGCCAGUUGAGAACAGGCUAACAUGCUCAAAUAAAGCUUUGCCAAGGCUUCAAAGGAAGCAUAGACUCCACAUUCAGUUUCUUGCAAUUUGCACAGACAUCGUGAAGCUAAAAGCAUGGAGUUGGCUGUUUUCUGGAAAUUCCAGAAAAUCUCUCAGCUGUCUCUGUACAACCUCUUGAGGGAAGGAGACCCUGACUGGACAGCAAAAGGAAGACCUGCUUCUUCUGAAUGUAUUGCAGCAAAUCUGGGAACAUAUUCUUACCAAAAGUCAGCACUGCUUAAAGUCAUUCAGUCCCCAACAGAACCCUGAGCUGAGACCAGCCAUUUCUGCUGUACCCCAGAGGUUCCACUGUGUUCUUUGUGAUGUGGAUGAGGGAGGGUCAGCACAAAAAGAGCGAGGCAGGUGACCAAGGUCUUGUAGGUAGCAAAUGGCAGAACCGGGGGUUGAACUCUAUACUCUUGCUGUUGAGCAAUGCUGCCAUUCUCAAAUGGCAUCUUGUGGGAGACCAACCUUACACAUGACUGAGUACACUCCCCGGCUGGGUGCUGAGGCGCUCAGUCACAGAAAUAUGUCAGAGCUUUCCCCACCCUUCUUGAGUUCGAGGGUUGGUGUCUCGUGCAUGGGUGUGUCUUGCUACAGCCCCAUGGGUGGAGCUACGCUCAACUGUUGCUUUGUAAUAUAACCCCUUGCCCUGUUUAGGAUAGAAUCUUCCAUGAAAGUGCCUUGUGUGUGUCCCCUUCUCUUACUGUGCCCUUGGGUGUGGCCUGCCCAGGUGUCAGUCAACCUGCUGACAGUGGACAUCAUGAAGAUAGACUCAGCCCCCUGAAACCUGACCCCUUGCCUCAUUUGAAUAGCUUCUCCU
rnacentral:lncRNA from 1 species